AAUAUAUUGUUCCAUAUGUACUUUUCUCUACAGACAACUAAAAUAUCAUGAAGCGGAUGACAGAGAGAUUGAAUUCACACAGUAAGGAUGGCAUUAAAAAAAAAAAAGCUAAUUGUGCCUCACAGACGAGGAUUGUUGAGGGUUCAAAUGAUCAUUUGUGGCAUUUCAAUACUGACCUUGUUAGUAGGACUAGUCUGAUAUCAGUGGCAGAACUAAGUCAAAGAGAACCCCAGGCCAAAAUGUAGAUCCACAAUUGCAUGAACGAAGACUUGUACAAGUAUGGUGUAUAUGUGUGUGUGAAUGCAGGAGUGUACGUGUGUGUAUUGUUGUUAGAGACAUAUUCACAUACACACAUAACACUUCCGCAAAUGCUGAUACACAUCAAUACACAGAUCCUGCCUCAAAGAUAUACACAGACAUACAUACAGUGUCACAUAGAGGUACAUCUAAACACAAAUUGAUGCACACUUAUAAAUACAUUGAAGCAUAUAUACACACUGACAUACAAUGACACAUUGAAUCACAUGCACAUACAGAUGCACACAGUAACAUACACAGUGAUACAGAGACACACCACAGAUAUGCACACACUGACACACCCAUAUAGAAUAAAGAAAUUACAUAUUUUAGUCACCCUGCUUGUAGCGGAACGCCAAUAUUAAAUCCACGAAUUCCGCUGGUUCAGGAAGUAAUCCACAGUCAAGCUCUGGAAAAAGCAAGGCAAUAUCCCAAACCUCCCAUUAACCGGACGAAACACAGUUCUGAGAGUCAACUGAGGUCUUUAUUUUCAGCUCCACAAUUUAUACAAGUCCCCAUGCAAGGGGUUUCCUGAGUCCCCUCCCAGGGGCAUUCCCAGAGUGGACUACAUGGAGACUUAUUGUACAGGGCAUUUCUCCCAUCAGGCCCUGCUGCACAAGAAGGAUCCUCCCACAGGAAUGUACCGUUAAGUGGAUUAUCCCUCCGUGCAGCAGAACCGACAAUUUAUAUUAAAAUGCAUAACUGUGGUAAUAUACGGUCUAUUUGCACGAAUGGACGUUCGGUAGAUAGCUGGGGUCUGAGCGCCUCAUUCGUGAGAUUAACGCUCAGAUCCCAGCUAAAACAACCGAACGCCGCACGAAAAACACAUUUAUUAAAAUACAUGUUUAAAUGACCGAUUGCCUUCCAGGGAACAAAGUACCGAACGGCCCGGAACUCCCGAACGGCCUGGAGACUCAGCGGUGUUCAUGCCGUCGAGUAGCCGUUUUUAGUACCAUGCGCUCAACGACCUAACACCGCUGAGGGAACAAAGGAUCCAAGAUGGACGACCGCCGCAUGGUCGGUAGUCGAACGGCGGACACCUCGCAGAGCCUCUAAUUACCAAUUGCAACAUUGUUGCAAUCAGUUAACAAGUGCCACACGUCUCUAAGUGUGUGGGCUAAUACAUGGGGGUAUUUUUGGUUCACGAACGGCCCGCAAAAGUGCAGUUCGUGAAACGAAAGAAAAUCCAAUACAAACAGCUAUCUGCAUUCGGCAGAUGGCCAAUACAGCAAAUACAUGUAAAUUACAACCCGCAUACAUUCUACAUAGUUAAGCCCAUAUCCCACAACCAUAUAGGCAACCCUUAAAGGCACAGUCUCUUUAUAGUGUCCAAGUGGCCAUGUUUGCCACACUGCUGUUGGGGCAGAAAGGUGGCUUUCCUGGGGUCAGUAGGAGUUAUGUGGGGCAGAUAGAAGUUGGUUUAAGCUGGUCCAGGCUGCUGUCUCCCUUCUCUCAAUGCAGCUGUGAGUGUGUUCCAAGAAGAAGUGUACUCUCUGCCGGUAAAUUAUUGGAAAUAUUUCUAAUUUUAAAAAAAGAGUUAGUGUUUGGCUGAUGUGGUCUAAUUUUUUUCAGUUCCCUUGUCAGUGUUCGUGAGUAUAGCGGAAAUUACUUAAUUUAAAGGAUCACUAUGGGCACACAGAACAUUUCAGCUCAUUGAAGUGGUCUUGGUGCACUGUCCCAGGUCCCUUAAUCCUGCAAAGGUAAUUCUUGCAGUUUUUAAUAAACUGCAAUAAUUACCUUUGUGGAUUAACUUCACCUCUAGUUGCUGUCUACCAGACAGCUACUAGAGGGACUUACGGGUCGUUAGGUGACUUUUGGUUGCAUAACUGAUGCUGGACUCCCUCACGCUAGGCAUCCAGCGUCACCUGAAACCCCAUACUAAAGCACUGUAUAAUGCUUUCCUAUGGGGAAAUCCUAAUGCGAGCACGGCCAUUGCAUUGCAUUGCCAUUGCACGGCCAGGUCUCCCUUGUCAGCUGAUGUGGGCAGGGGACGAGCCCGAGCCAGCUCUGAGAGACAUUGGCACCCCUUUCUGCACCACGGGGAAAGAAGGGGAACGCUAAAAGGGAGCUAUAGUGCCAGGAAAACAUCUUAGUUUUCCUAGCACUGUAGUUUCCCUUUAAGGAUAUUGUAUAGAGAUAUUUCCUGGGCACCAGUUUAUCGGUUCUACCAUUUCUAUGUUCUUCUAUUUGCACUCAUAUUUUGCUCUAUGUAUUCUCAGAACAUGCUCUGUUUGUGAGAAAGAGAGAUAAAUACUUACCUACAAUGAACAAAAUUAUAAAUGCAACACUUUUGUUUUUGCCCCAAUUUUUCAUGAGCUGAACUCAAAGAUCUAAGACUUUUUCUAUUUACAAAAGGCCUAUUUCUCUCAAAUAGUGCUCACUAAAUCUGUGUUAGUGAGCAUUUCUCCUUUGCCGAGAUAAUCCAUCCACCUCACAGGUGUGGCAUAUCAAGAUGCUGAUUAGACAACAUGAUCAUUGCACAGGUGUGCCUUACACUGGCCACAAUAAAAGGCCACUCUAAAACGUGCAGUUUUAUCAAACAAUGCCACAGAAUUAAUUUCACGAGGGGCCCGGUCAGCGCUGCGGCGCUUAAACAGCUCGACCGGCCCACGUGUGAUGACAUCAGAGCUUGGAGGAAGUGACUGCUCUGGUCACUCCUUCCAGCUUGCACCGGGAGCCACACAGGAGGAAGGAGAGGAAGAAGUCAGAGUGGGAACUCUGACUACCUUCAGGCUGAAAGAUAGGAAACAGUAGGGUCACUUAAACAUUUUGUAUAUGUGUGUGUUUGUUUGUAUGUGUGUGUGUUUGUGUCUGUAUGAAUGUUUGUAUGUGUGUCUAUGUGUAUGUCUGUGUGUCUGUGUGUGUGUGUUUGUAUGAAAAGUAUCUCACAAAAGUGAGCAUAUCCUUCACAUUUUUUCAUGUGACCUCACUGAAGAAAUUACUCUGCUGCAAUGUAGUAGUAGUGAGUGUACAGUCUGUAUAACAGGGUACAUUUGCUGUCCCCUCAAACUAACUCAACACACAGUCAAAACCGUUGGCAACAAAAGUGAGCACACCCCUAAGUUGAAAUUUUCAAAUUGGGCCCAAAGCGUCAAUAUUUUGUGUGGCCACCAUUAUUUUCCAGCACUGCCUUAACCUUCAUGGGCAUGGAGUUUACCAGUCUCUUACUACUUACACUUACUACUUCACAUUGUAGCAGAGUGUAAUUUCUUCAGUGUUAUAGAUAUAUUAAAAUAUUUACAAAAAUGUGAGGUGUGUACUCACUUUUGUGAGAUACUGUAUGUAAGUUUGUAUGUAUGUGAAUCUGUAUGUGUGUGUAUGUUGUGGGCUAUUUUCGCCCCGGGCCCUGUGGUUUCUAGUUACGCCUCUGUAUACAUACAAUACAUACAUAAUUGUUUUUUUACACAGGCCAGGAGAUUCACAUGAUGGAAAAGAUCGAGGCUGGCAGGAAGCUGCAGAGGGUCAAUUAUAGAUCUAUUUUCAGCCUUAAAUGAUGGCCAUUCUACUGGGUAAGCACUGGACCAAAAUAGCUCACACUAAACACAUUCUUUUUUGAGUUAGAAAUGUCUAGCUAACAGACUUUUUUUUUUUUUUUUUUAAACUACCAGCUGAGCGUUUAGCAAUAAUUUUUUUUUUUUUUUUACAGAUUUAGCUCUGGAGGUCUGUCUGUAUAUCAUGGUUUUUUAUUAUUUUUAUUUUAUUUAUUUAUUAUUAUAUAUUUUUUUAUCUUUAAUUUUGGUGUGUAAAUAAAGUACAGACGCAUAAUUGACUUAAAGUAAAACCAUCAUAAUUUUUUUAUUAUUAAAAAUAAUAAAUGAUGAUGUGCUACAACCUUUGUUGUGUAUUAUUAUAUCAAGGAUAUAUAACAGUUAAUAACUUUAUGUGCUUUUCCUUGAGGGUGGCCAUCUUUAGCAAUCUAUGGUCAGAAGGACUACCUUCAUCCUAAGCCCACGCGCAAUUAGAAAGUCUGCAAACAUGCAGAUGCCGAUUAGUGCAGCAUUUUAGGAACUCAACCAAGUAGGCAGGGCGGGGCCAGCAGUGACAAAACCGAAGCAGUGCUCUAAAUAAGGUAAGUUAACUACCUUUUUAACCGGGGGCAAGAGGGGACUGGAUACUUAAAGGACCACUAUAGUGCCAGAAAAAUAUACUCAUUUUCCUGGCACUAUAGGGCCCUGAGGGUCCCCCCCACCCGGGUCCCCCCCACCCUCAGGAUCCCCUUCCCGUCGGGCUGGAUGGAGAGGAAGGGGUUAAACUUACCUCUUCUCCAGCGCAAGGCGGGGAGCUCCUCUUCGGCUGAAUGCGCAUGCGCGGCAGGAGCCGCGCACGCAUUCAGCCAGUCCAUAGGAAUUCACAAUGCUUUUCUAUGGAUGCUGGCGUCUUCUCACAGUGAGAAACGUGGAAGCCCUCUAGAGGCUGUCAAUGAGACGGCCACUAGAGGCUGGAUUAACCCUAGCAUAAAUAUAGCGGUUUCUCUGAAACCGCUAUGUUUAUAGAAAAAAGGGUUAACCCUAGAUGGACCAGGCACCCAGACCACUUCAUUAAGCUGAAGUGGUCUGGGUGCCUAUAGUGGUCCUUUAAACAGCGGUUUUAGAACUAUAGUGAUAUGAAUACAUGUUUGUAUUCCUGACUCUAAAGUGUUCCUUUAAACUGGUUUAGAGAACAGAAAGAGACUGUCUGUUUGUAUAUAACCUCCAUAUAUGUUUAUAGCUGUUAGAUUGUUAGGCUCAUUAUCGACCUUUCUCCCUAUGCUUGGUCACUUAUAAUGUCCUGUGGACAUAAUACAAAUGCUAUUUUAGUACAGACCUUUUGGCCCUUUUUUCAAUAAAGCCUUUUUGUAUGUUCCCUACUAUUUUAUAUAUACUGUUAAGUUUAAGUAAUCACUAACCGAUGAGUGAAGGAACCUCAUGAACUAUAUUUUUACCACUUACAACAAACUACACACUGUAUGGGUAUUGGGUGGUUACUUAUCAUAAGGAUGAAUUGUGCACUACUUGCAAACACCAGUUAGCAGGUCCCAUCUGUUUUAACUCUUGGAAAUGGCUAAACAUUCUCAUUUAGAAUUAAGGAUUAACCCCUGGACCUAUAUAUUUGUAUUUUUCAUUGUUCUAUUUUUUUUGAGAGCAAAAAACUUGCAGUGACUCUGUCCAAGUGUGAAAGAUUACAGCUACAAUCGAUUAGUCAGAGGUGAACAAUGAGGGCACAACUUAACUGCCUCAUACAGAAGGAGACAAUACAAAGGAUUAAGGAGACAAUCUCUGCCAUAUACACAUGAAACUAAUUAUCUGUUACUUUUAUUUUCAGAUGGAUAAUCUUGAUGACUGUCAAUUACUGGCUACCUCAUACAAAUAGUAAGGG
rnacentral:lncRNA from 1 species